rnacentral:rRNA from 1 species
AACGAACGCUGACGGCAGGCCUAACACAUGCAAGUCGAGCGAAGCCUUCGGGCUUAGCGGCGGACGGGUGAGUAACGCGUGGGAACGUGCCCUUUGGUACGGAAUAGCCCCGGGAAACUGGGAGUAAUACCGUAUGUGGUCGAGAGACGAAAGAUUUAUCGCCAAAGGAUCGGCCCGCGUUGGAUUAGGUAGUUGGUGGGGUAAUGGCCUACCAAGCCGACGAUCCAUAGCUGGUUUGAGAGGAUGAUCAGCCACACUGGGACUGAGACACGGUCCAGACUCCUACGGGAGGCAGCAGUGGGGAAUCUUAGACAAUGGGGGAAACCCUGAUCUAGCCAUGCCGCAUGAUCGAUGAAGGCCUUAGGGUUGUAAAGAUCUUUCAGUGGGGAAGAUAAUGACUGUACCCACAGAAGAAGCCCCGGCUAACUCCGUGCCAGCCGCCGCGGUAACAC